rnacentral:rRNA from 1 species
GACGAACGCUGGCGGCGUGCUUAACACAUGCAAGUCGAACGGAAAGGCCCCUUUGGGGGUACUCGAGUGGCGCACGGGUGAGUAACACGUGAGUAACCUGCCCUUGACUUCGGGAUAACUUCAGGAAACUGGGGCUAAUACCGGAUAGGAAUCCUUGCUGCAUGGUGGGGGUUGGAAAGCUUCGGCGGUUUUGGAUGGACUCGCGGCUUAUCAGCUUGUUGGUGGGGUAGUGGCUUACCAAGGCUUUGACGGGUAGCCGGCCUGAGAGUGCGACCGGCCACAUUGGGACUGAGAUACGGCCCAGACUCCUACGGGAGGCAGCAGUGGGGAAUAUUGCACAAUGGGCGGAAGCCUGAUGCAGCAACGCCGCGUGCGGGAUGACGGCCUUCGGGUUGUAAACCGCUUUCAGCAGGGGCGAAGCUUGUGGUGACGGUACCUGCAGAAGAAGCACCGGCUAACUACGUG